rnacentral:rRNA from 1 species
ACGCUCGACACCUACGGGAGACAGCAGUGGGGAAUAUUGCACAAUGGGGGAAACCCUGAUGCAGCGACGCCGCGUGGAGGAAGAAGGUCUUCGGAUUGUAAACUCCUGUUGUUGGGGAAAAAGAGGAUGGUACCCAACAAGGAAGUGACGGCUAACUACGUGCAGCAGCCGCGGUAAUCUGAGCGGGCUGGCAAGGC